GAAAUACCUCCCGAAUGCUCUCCUGUGACACUCAUGAAAACCUCUUGUUCUUUGAACUUGUUCUUUGGCUAUUUUGAGACCUCAGGGCUGUGAUCUCCCAGAUUUCAUGGCAUUUUUAUGUUUAAAAUUCAAACUUCCGUUCAGCUCCCCUCACUUCUUGUUGCUUUAGAUCUGUAUGAAGCAUCUCAGGAGAAUCCUUGCCCUUCUUCAGUGCAGAAGUUUUGAACAGACUUGUAUUGACUGUCAUCAAUGCAACUGCCACUUGUGUUGAAGCUAAAACACGUGUUCACAAGUACUGGAAACUGCUUAAUAUUAUUGGGAUUGUUUAUUGUUUUAAAUAGUUAUACUUUAAUCUGUAACUAAUAUUUCUGUUUAUGUAGGAGAAACUAGUCCAACACACUUCAACAUAUAUAUUAAUUCAUUUAAUAUAAAAAUAGCCUAGUACACAAAGGACAUAAAUCAUACCUUUCAAAAGACUUUGUUUUUCAGAUCUGCUCUCUGCUUUGCUACCUGAAUCCAGAGGAAAAGCAUUUUUUUUUCUCUGUAUUAACAACAGAAUACUGAGAUACUGUUUUCCUCUCUUGUGAAAAUGGAACGUCAUUCUAAGCAACGUUUGUCAAACCACCUAAAUCCCCAGGAAGGGAGUUCUGUAGAUGACAGGAAACCAAGGUUCAUCAUGUGUAUCCCAGCUGUAUUUUGUCCCAGUUGAGAUUCUGAAGCUCACAGGGAGUGUUAUCAGUUUUCCAUUGAGAGAGGAAAGAGAAACUGGCAACACUGUGUGGUGGUCCUCAGUGAACUUAACAGCAAAGUGGGAUCUGAUGCCUCCUCUACCUGGUUUAUCAGGAUAGCAGCAACCACAGUUGUGCAGACCCUUCCAAACCUGUCUGUGUAGUGAGCCACCUAUGUACCAUUUUAUGCUUGCUUUAAAAAACUAUUUCUAAAAUAAACUGCAUCUAAAAUU
rnacentral:lncRNA from 7 species